GUUGAACGCUGGCGGCAGGCUUAACACAUGCAAGUCGAGCGGGGUGAUGGUGCUUGCACUAUCACUUAGCGGCGGACGGGUGAGUAAUGCUUAGGAAUCUGCCUAUUAGUGGGGGACAACAUUCCGAAAGGAAUGCUAAUACCGCAUACGCCCUACGGGGGAAAACAGGGGAUCUUCGGACCUUGCGCUAAUAGAUGAGCCUAAGUCGGAUUAGCUAGUUGGUGGGGUAAAGGCCUACCAAGGCGACGAUCUGUAGCGGGUCUGAGAGGAUGAUCCGCCACACUGGGACUGAGACACGGCCCAGACUCCUACGGGAGGCAGCAGUGGGGAAUAUUGGACAAUGGGCGGAAGCCUGAUCCAGCCAUGCCGCGUGUGUGAAGAAGGCCUUUUGGUUGUAAAGCACUUUAAGCGAGGAGGAGGCUACCUGGAUUAAUACUCUAGGAUAGUGGACGUUACUCGCAGAAUAAGCACCGGCUAACUCUGUGCCAGCCGCCGCCGUAA
rnacentral:rRNA from 1 species